GCGAAAAGCAGCUCAUCAUCUCAGAGGGACUGCAGAGACACACAGAGCCUCAGAACAAUCGAUGCAGAAAUAAAGCACCACAAAGGCGCAGCAUCACCUGAACGUCUCGCGCAGGGUGAUCGGGACCGUGUUUUUUCCGGGAAGAGCUCGAGCAGGUGCGGAUCGUCAGGAUGGGGAACCGCGGGAUGGAGGAUCUGAUUCCUCUGGUGAAUCGCAUGCAGGACGCGUUCUCGGCCAUCGGUCAGAACUCGAAUCUCGACCUGCCGCAGAUCGCCGUGGUGGGCGGACAGAGCGCCGGCAAGAGCUCCGUGCUCGAGAACUUCGUGGGAAAGGAUUUCCUCCCGCGGGGUUCUGGGAUCGUCACCCGUCGUCCUCUGGUUCUACAGCUCAUCAACUGUCCCACAGAAUAUGCAGAGUUCCUUCAUUGCAAAGGGAAGAAGUUCACAGAUUUCGAUGAGGUGCGGCAAGAAAUCGAGGCGGAGACGGAUCGCGCCACGGGCCAGAAUAAAGGCAUCUCGCCUGUGCCCAUAAACCUACGGGUGUGCUCUCCAAACGUGCUGAAUCUGACGUUGGUGGAUUUGCCAGGAAUGACCAAAGUUCCAGUGGGCGAUCAGCCGGCGGACAUCGAGCAACAGAUCAAAGAAAUGCUCAUGCAGUUUGUGACUAAAGACAACUGCCUUCUGCUGGCCGUCUCACCAGCCAACUCUGAUCUGGCCAACUCUGACGCCCUGAAGAUUGCCAAAGAAGUCGACCCGCAGGGUUUGCGUACUAUUGGUGUGAUCACCAAGCUUGAUCUGAUGGAUGAAGGCACAGACGCUCGCGACAUUUUGGAAAACAAGCUUCUGCCGCUACGGAGAGGUUACAUCGGUGUGGUGAACCGCAGUCAGAAAGACAUUGACGGGAAGAAGGACAUCCACGCUGCCAUGGCGGCCGAGCGGAAGUUUUUUCUCUCUCAUCCCGGUUACAGACACCUGGCCGAUCGCAUGGGGACGCCGUACCUGCAGAAAACACUCAAUCAGCAACUGACCAAUCACAUUCGAGACACGCUGCCCGGCCUGCGCGCUAAACUCCAGAGCCAGCUGCUGUCCAUCGAGAAAGAAGUGGAAGAGUACAAGAACUUCCGUCCAGAUGAUCCGUCCCGCAAGACCAAAGCCCUGCUGCAGAUGGUGCAGCAGUUCUCUGUGGACUUUGAUAAGCGUAUCGAGGGUUCUGGAGAUCAGAUCGACACGUAUGAGCUGUCUGGAGGAGCCCGAAUCAAUCGCAUCUUCCAUGAGCGCUUCCCCUUCGAGCUGGUGAAGAUGGAGUUCGAUGAGAAGGAGCUGCGUAAGGAGAUCAGCUACGCCAUCAAGAACAUUCACGGCAUCAGGACGGGCCUGUUCACCCCUGAUCUGGCCUUUGAGGCCAUAGUGAAAAAGCAGAUGCAAAAGCUAAACGGACCGUGCCUGAAAUGUAUAGAUAUGGUCGUGAGCGAACUCACCUCCACCAUUCACAAAUGUAGUGAGAAGCUGGCCCAGUAUCCCAUGCUGAGAGAAGAGAUGGAGAGGAUCGUCACGCUACACAUCCGGGAUCGUGACAGUCGCACUAAAGAUCAGGUGUUGCUGUUGAUUGAAAUCGAGCUGGCCUACAUGAACACAAACCAUGAAGACUUCAUCGGAUUUGCCAAUGCUCAGCAGAGGAGUAGUCAGACGAAUAAGAAGAAGGCGGCUGGUAAUCAGGAUGAAAUCAUGGUGAUCAGAAAGGGUUGGCUGACCAUUAACAACAUUGGCAUCAUGAAGGGCGGUGCUAAAGAGUACUGGUUUGUCAUGACAGCCGAAUCUCUGUCCUGGUACAAAGAUGAUGAGGAGAAAGAGAAGAAGUACAUGCUGCAGGUGGACAAUCUGAAGUUCAGAGAUGUUGAAAAGGGUUUCAUGUCCAGCAAACACAUCUUUGCUCUGUUCAACACCGAGCAGAGGAACGUGUAUAAGGAUUACCGGCAGCUGGAGUUGGCGUGUGAGAGUCAGGAGGAGGUGGACGGAUGGAAGGCUUCGUUCCUGCGUGCCGGCGUCUAUCCCGAGCGUGUUGUGGAGAAGGAGAAGAGUGAUGGCGGUGAGGAGAACGGUUCAGACAAUUUCAUGCACUCCAUGGACCCUCAGCUGGAGAGGCAGGUGGAGACCAUCCGUAACCUGGUGGACUCCUACAUGGCCAUCGUCAACAAAACCGUACGAGACCUGGUGCCCAAGACCAUCAUGCAUCUGAUGAUCAACAAUACGAAAGAGUUCAUCAACGCCGAGCUGUUGGCUCAGUUGUACUCGUGCGGAGAUCAAAACACGCUCAUGGAGGAGUCGGCAGAACAGGCUCAGCGUCGAGAUGAAAUGCUGCGGAUGUACUUUGCUCUGAAAGAAGCGCUGAACAUCAUCGGUGACAUCAGCACCUCCACCAUCUCCACUGCGCAGCCUCCGCCGGUGGACGACUCCUGGCUCCAGGUGCAGCGCUCCGGCUCGGGGGGACGCUCACCAGCCACCAGUCCCACCCCUCAGAGACGGGCUCCUCCGCCGGCACGCCCAGGUUCUCGCGGCUCCGCCCCGGGCCCUCCAGCUGCGGGUGGGCCACCGCUUCCAUCACGCCCAGGGUCGUCCCCGGACCCAUUCGGUGGGGCUCCCCCUCAGGUCCCCUCCCGGCCUAACCGCGCCCCGCCGAGCGUGCCCAGCCGACGACCCCCGGCCUCACCUACCCGACCCAACAGACCCACAGACUCCUCCUUCUUAGACUAUUAAGCCCCUCCCACAUGCGACAGACAGCUGGACAGACACGCCCAUAACACGCUGAAACUCCUCCCCUCCCUGCAGACUUCAUUUAAACACACACAUGCAGAAUGCCGCUGUACAGUUCAGACUCUAAAUAGCACAAUCUGAUCAUUAUUUCUACAGAUUCUCAAAUAAAAAAAGUUUUCUACAGUGAUUUUACCACAAGAACACUUGACCACGGUAAAACACCUCCAAACUGGGUUUCUUGUCUGGUUACUCAUUGAUAAAACAUAUGGAUCACAUAUUGAACCGACAGGAGGUGCUGACAAUUGCUCUGAUUUCUGUUGCCUGAUUUAUUUUCAUCGUCACGGUUUGUUUUUCUGAUGCAUUAUCUCUGUCAAGCGUCUUCAGAUAACUGCAUCGGAAUGAGUUCAGUUGUAUUUCUCUACAUUAUUUUGGGGCUCUUCUUUUCUGUUUGUUUUAUAUGUGUGUCGGCUGAAGUGCUCCUUGAGGUCACGGGCCAGAAGACCACACUCGACUCCCCUGAAGGUCGGCCGAACAAUGGCAGCACUUCUCGCCCCGAGAGCCCCAUAACCUCCUCAUAACACCUCCUCGUCCCUUCUCCACUUUCUUCUUCUUCUUUUUCACCCUGCAAAACAAACCCAUCAUCACAAGAGAAACCAGGAUCAGAGAGAUGGAGGCCUUUUAAAGCAUCUUCUCAUGACGUCAGACAGGUGGCGGUGAGACGUCUCUCUUUGGUUGAACCCUCCUCCAGCUUCGAGUUCAUCAAGAUGUCACAGCUCUCUUUACGGCUCAUUUUAAAGCGACAAACCACAACAUGAGAUGGUUUCUAGCGCAAUAUAGAAGUAGUGAUAAAAAUCCUUAUUGUCCAAAACAUGAUGAUUAUGUGAUCUGUUCACCUUGAGAAAUCAAACAUCCGUUCAGUAAAUCAAAGAGGCUGGAAUGAAUUAUAGAGUGCAAUAUAUUUUCAGAUCAGACAUGUUUACGUCACGUGUUUCCAAGUUUAAAAGAUAUUCAUGCUGUUUGGGGUGAACAGACGAUCUGAAGUUUUGUGUGUUUACAGAAAUUGUUCGUUUCAUUUCAUAGAAAGCUAAUAGACUAAUGCUCGAGACUGUCGAGACACUGCGAUCAGAAUGAGACACGCUUAUCACACACUAUAAACUGCUUACAGUUAAAGUAUACAAAGAAACAGCUCGUACAACAUAAACAAGCGUUUAUGUUUACGUCCGGUACACAUUCAAAAACAAUAUGAGCGCCUGUAGAUUAUUUCUGAUAGUUAUCAAAAGAAACCGAGAAGAACCGCUGCGUGUCUCGCCAACAUUUUUAAUUUAAACUACCACACCGGGGUUACCAUACGGUUUGUUUAAAUGCGUCAAACUACUGGACCCAUACGAAUUGUUUAUAAAAAGUUACAUAAAACAAAAUU